GAGUGAUGAAACACCAGCUGGCACCAGGCCUAGAAGACUUGUACUCUUUACAUGCGGAACAGCUUGCGGAGCACAGACUCCUUCCUCUGAC
rnacentral:snoRNA from 1 species